CUUAACAAAAUAAGAUUAUUGUAGCAGUAAGGUGGAUGUGUUUUAGACAGUAGGUGGAUGUGUUUUGGACAGUAGGUGGAUGUGUUUUGGACAGUAGGUGGAUGUGUUUUGGACAGUAGGUGGAUGUGUUUUGGACAGUAGGUGGAUGUGUUUUGGACAGUAGGUGGAUGUGUUUUGGACAGUAGGUGGAUGUGUUUUGGACAGUAGGUGGAUGUGUUUUGGACAGUAGGUGGAUGUGUUUUGGACAGUAGGUGGAUGUGUUUUGGGCAGUAGGUGGAUGUGUUUUGGACAGUAGGUGGAUGUGUUUUGGACAGUAGGUGGAUGUGUUUUGGGCAGUAGGUGGAUGUGUUUUAGACAGUAGGUGGAUGUGUUUUGGACAGUAGGUGGAUGUGUUUUGGACAGUAGGUGGAUGUGUUUUGGGCAGUAGGUGGAUGUGUUUUGGACAGUAGGUGGAUGUGUUUUGG